rnacentral:rRNA from 1 species
AUGGGCUCUAGUGCCAUUAUGCACUUUGGCCCGUCUAACAACUUUGGCCCAGCCCAACCCCCACACCCGCGGUCGAUCCCCUCCCCUCACUGUGCCUCCGACCCGUCGCUACAGGGGCAAGACCCCGCCGGAUCACCUCGCCGCGCGGCGCCCCGAGGGGAUAAGGCCGAGCCCCCUCGGCCUCCUCAGGAUCCACCACCCCCCUCCCCCGCGCAGAUAUUUCCCUCUCUCCCUCGGUCACUCCCUCUCCCCAGAUCCCUUUCUCCCUCGCCCCAUCAAGCGCGUUCGCCGUCGGCCACCUCGCCUCGACGUGGCCACCGCCCUCCCUGCGCCAAGCCGACGUGCCCACGAGCUCCACCUCGUCCUCCGCUCCUUCUCCGUCGAACCACGGGACCCAAAGCGCUCCACAACGCCGACGACAGCAUCAUCUUCCACCUUCGGACGCGUCGGAGCUCGCCGUCGACCCACGCCGCCCCGAGCACCUCGAGUCGUCCCCGGGCCUUUUCUGCAACGGCCGUGAGCCCUCGAUCCUCCUCCCUCUCUCCCCGGCCUCUCCUCGUAGCCGUAGCUCGCCCCCGACGCACUCGCGCUUCCGCCGCUGUGGUCGAGCUCGCCGGCAUGGCCCCUGUGGCCGCAGCCCGCACCCGAGCCCGCUUGCGUGCUCCGUACCUCCGGCCGCACCCAACGCACGCGCUCGCUCACCCCCACUACCCCGGUCCGUCCCGACGCGCCGCGUCCACCCCUGCGCCCGCCGUGCGUGUGUCCCGCUGCUGCUGCUCUGGUGGCCUACUACUGCUGCUAGUGCCGCCCCUCGCGCCGCGUGCGCCUGCUGCCGCGGACACCGCCGCUUGCCGCUAUUGCCCACGGCCACUGCCGCAGCCCCACGACACUGCUGCCCCCUGCAGGUCGCCACGUCUCGCUGCAGUCGCCGCCUCGCCUGCCCCUGGCCGCGCGGACGUUGCUCUCUUCUGCUGGCCCAUCCGUGCGCACGCUUGCGCAGGCCCGCGCGUGCAGGCCAUGCCCCACACCCACGCCGCUGGCUCGCCGGCCAUGCCCGGGGCAUGCCCUGCUGCUUCUUGCUGCCCGUCGCCUUGCCGUAGCUCCCCGCCCGUGACCUGCCUAGCGUCGUUGUUGUCUGCUGCUCUGCUAGUGCUUGCCGCUGCUAUUUUCUGCUAG